UCUUAUCCAGAGUGGUUGAGGGAACGGCCCGAUGACACCCGACAACCUGCCCCGGACGGGGUAAGGUGCCAAUUCCGGCAGCAGUGAUGCUGAAAGAUGAG
rnacentral:ncRNA from 1 species